UGCGUAGGUCCCGAGCGUUGUCCGGAUUUAUUGGGCGUAAAGCGAGCGCAGGUGGUUUAUUAAGUCUGGUGUAAAAGGCAGUGGCUCAACCAUUGUAUGCAUUGGAAACUGGUAGACUUGAGUGCAGGAGAGGAGAGUGGAAUUCCAUGUGUAGCAGUGAAAUGCGUAGAUAUAUGGAGGAACACCGGUGGCGAAAGCGGCUCUCUGGCCUGUAACUGACACUGAGGCUCGAAAGCGUGGGGAGCAAACAGG
rnacentral:rRNA from 1 species